UGGGGCUGUGACUCAAUGGUAGAGGAUCUGCUUGGCAUGCAGAAGGUCACAGGUUCAAUCCCUGACAUCUCAA
rnacentral:tRNA from 1 species